UUACGGCCACAUCGCGUUGAAACACCGGUUCUCGUACGAUAACCAAAGUUAAACAACGCCGAGUCUUGUCAGUACCGAGAGGGGUGACCUCUUAGGAAUAUAGGCGCUGUAAG